rnacentral:lncRNA from 1 species
GCAAGCCAUACCUCCACCACAUAUGGAGUAAUGUUUAUCCUGUGGACGAAUUUCGCCACACUUAUCACUGAAGAACGACUGCCGUCUAACGCUGUGAAAACAGAGCAAAUUCUUGGAAUGCUAUCCACAUGGACAUCAUGGAGUAGAUGAGGAUUUAGGCCGUCUACAUGGCCGGUUAGACUUGGUAAAUGCCUUAUGCUAAUACUGGCCUUAACAAGAGUUGAUUGAGAUGAAACUAGAUGGUACAGAUAUUGCUGACAGAUUGACAGGUACUAAACCUGAUGCUUUGUUGGUCUGAAGGAGAGCUGAGAAUUUGAUUAAACUUAAUGGUCACGAUAUAUAUUGCUCCAGACAGGAGAAAUUUGUAUCUCUGAGCAUGAUUGAAGGUUGGACAACAUUUGUUUGACAUUGUGAAGCUGCUGCCUUUGAACUACAUUUUAUGAUUGAGGUACAAUACAAUGUGAGGUUCAUACAGACAAUCAAAUCUCUCUAGCUCUCUAAUCAGGGGAAUGAAUACUCCAAUAUUGUUCCAUGUAACAUCACGGAAUGACUGGUUUGUGGCUGGAUGGUCAUCCAUUUAAUUUAGGAAAGCAGAAUCACUGAGGAGAACCUUUGAGACUUUGAGAAUAACCGAUCGCAGUCACUGCUGCAACUCUGGUUUCCCUGAAACGGGAGCUGUGCUCUUUGGAUAGAUUCACUCCUAAAAAUGUUUUGGAGAAAAUAUUUUAUGUAUUCUUCUGUGGUCAUCACACAAUCUAAUUUAGUGCGUGUUCAUAUAACCUCAUGGUUGUAAACUGUAUGUAUGACAUGCUAGAAAAUUUUGAAAUGAGAAUUCUAAAAUGAUGU